CCUGCGGAUUAAUUUGACUCAACACGGGAAAAACUCACCCGGCCCGGACACAGUGAGGAUUGACAGAUUGAGAGCUCUUUCUUGAUUUUGUGGGUGGUGGUGCAUGGCCGUUCUUAGUUGGUGGAGCGAUUUGUCUGGUUAAUUCCGAUAACGAACGAGACUCUGGCUUGCUAAAUAGUUGCGCCACCCGUUGCGGUGAGCGCUUAACUUCUUAGAGGGACAAGUGGCGUUUAGCCACGCGAGAUUGAGCAAUAACAGGUCUGUGAUGCCCUUAGAUGUUCGGGGCCGCACGCGCGCUACACUGAAAGAAUCAGCGUGUUUGCCCUUGGCCGACAGGUUUGGGUAAUCCGUUGAACCUCUUUCGUGCUAGGGAUAGGGACUUGUAAUUAUUUCCCUUCAACGAGGAAUGCCCAGUAAGCGCGAGUCAUCAGCUCGCGUUGAUUACGUCCCUGCCCUUUGUACACACCGCCCGUCGCUACUACCGAUUGAAUGGUUUAGUGAGAUCACCGGAUCGGCCGUGUCGGUUUUACCGUUCACGUGCCGAAAA
rnacentral:rRNA from 1 species